AUUGAACGCUGGCGGCAGGCUUAACACAUGCAAGUCGAGCGGAAACGAUGGGAGCUUGCUCCCAGGCGUCGAGCGGCGGACGGGUGAGUAACGCGUAGGAAUCUACCCAGUAGAGGGGGGAUAGCCCGGGGAAACCCGGAUUAAUACCGCAUACGCCCUAAGGGGGAAAGGCCGGGAUCUUCGGACCGGUCACUAUUGGAUGAGCCUGCGUAAGAUUAGCUAGUUGGUGGGGUAAAGGCCUACCAAGGCGACGAUCUUUAGCUGGUCUGAGAGGAUGAUCAGCCACACUGGAACUGAGACACGGUCCAGACUCCUACGGGAGGCAGCAGUGGGGAAUAUUGGACAAUGGGCGCAAGCCUGAUCCAGCCAUGCCGCGUGUGUGAAGAAGGCUCUAGGGUUGUAAAGCACUUUCAAUCGUGAAGAAAGUUGCAGGCUAAUACCCUGUGACCUUGACGUUAACGAUACAAGAAGCACCGGCUAACUCCGUGCCAGCAGCCGCGGUAAAG
rnacentral:rRNA from 1 species